GAUGAUGAUGAUGAUGAUGAUGAUGAUGAUGAUGAUGAUGAUGAUUCUUUAAAGAAUACUAAGAAUUCUGGAACAUUUCAGACAGAUAUCAUCUACUUCUAUUGUUCAAAAAUGGAUCAUGACCUGUUCUGGUGACAAGGCAAUUAAGCAAUGUGGAUAGUUCUUAGGCUUCAGGGUAAUCCCAGUAGGAUCAAUACAGAAUAGAAAGAUACAAACACAUGUUUAUAGUUCCACUAUAGAAGGAAGUAAUUCUUCCUUCAAAUAACUUAUGGAGUAAAGGAAUCUGCACCAUGAUCAUGUUUGAGAUUAGCAUAUUUUUCUCACUUGUUCUUCAUGUAAGAAAUAAGGUAGAAGGAAAGUUGUUCUCCACCCUAUGUGUCCCAUGCAAUAUCAUAACCUACAAAUCCCAUAAUUCUUAGGAAACAUGGUGGAUAUUACAUUGCAGAACAUAAGAGCAAUUAUUUCAGUACAAUUUGCAGUCCUAGUAGGUGAUUAUUCAUAUUGUUGUUAUAUUAUUAUUUUGUUUGCAGGGCACCAUUGUACCCUUGCCUGGUGGAUGUUGUAAGACAUGUAUAUUGAGGCCAGAUACCCCAUCGUGCACUCCCACUCAAACAAUGGACUACAUCAAGUACAAUGGCUGCCAUUCAGAGGAACUAGUCCCUGUGACUCGGUGUGAAGGAAGAUGUGAAACUUUUUCAUUAUACUCUCACGAAGCUAAUUCCAUGAGACAUACGUGCAGCUGCUGCAGAGAGUCAAAAACAACCAAGAAAGAAAUCAUGCUGUUGUGUCCUGGUGACAUCAGAAAGAAAUACAGGUACAUCCAUGUAGAACGCUGCGAGUGCAUGAAGUCUGGAUGCGGCAUCGACCAAAGCUCCUCAGAAGAAUACAUGGAGAACAAAGGAAACACCACGCAAGUGCCCCAGGAAGAGAAAGCAUUGGAACGGGUCAGGAAAGCUCUGAGGGCCAUCGGGAAGAGAACUUAAAAGAAGGAAAGCUUUGGAAUGAAAUAAGAUAACUGUUGAUACACAGUGAAGAAAUAUAUUGUGACUACUAUUAUAAUCAACCACUUUGCCUUACUUUUCUAUAUCAGAGAUGUCUAACCUUGGAAGUUUUAAGUCUUGUGGACUUUACCUCUUUGAAUUUUGCUGACUGGGGAAUUCUGGGAGUUGAAGUCCACAAGUCUUAAAUGUUGCUAAAGUUGGACACUCCUGUUCUACAGCCUUCUCAGUCUGAUCCCAACCCCCACCCCCUUUGGCUGUCCUUUAAUGUGCUCACGUAUUUAUUUGCACUAAAAAGAAAAUAAAAAUAUUUUUUUCUUAUAUAUGUAUGAAAAAAAUGAAGGAU